UAGGGAAUAUUGGGCAAUGGGCGAGAGCCUGACCCAGCCAUGCCGCGUGCCGGACGAAGGCGCUCAGCGUUGUAAACGGCUUUUAUCAGGGAAGAACGGCAGUGGUGCGCCACUGUGUGACGGUACCUGAGGAAUCAGCACCGGCUAACUCCGUGCCAGCAGCCGCGGUAAUACGGAGGGUGCAAGCGUUGUCCGGAUUUAUUGGGUUUAAAGGGUGCGUAGGUGGGCGCUUAAGUCGGGCUUGAAAGCUGGUCGCUCAACGAUCAGAUGUGGCUGGAAACUGGGCGUCUUGAAUGGGUUGGCGGUAGCUGGAACGGGUCAUGUAGCGGUGAAAUGCAUAGAUAUGACCCAGAACCCCGAUUGCGAAGGCAGGCUACUACGACCGGAUUGACACUGAGGC
rnacentral:rRNA from 1 species